rnacentral:hammerhead_ribozyme from 1 species
GCACUUCUGACGAGUUCCAAACAGGACGAAACAGCUGUCCAGUGA